rnacentral:rRNA from 1 species
UACGUAGGCAGCAAGCGUUGUUCGGAAUUACUGGGCGUAAAGAGUGUGUAGGCGGUUCGCCAAGUUUGGUGUGAAAUCUCCCGGCUUAACCUGGGAAUUGCGCUUGAAACUAGCGGGCUUGAGUGCGGCAGAGGGGGGUGGAAUUCCACGUGUAGCAGUGAAAUGCGUAGAGAUGUGGAGGAACACCGAUGGCGAAGGCAGCCUCCUGGGCCAGCACUGACGCUCAUGCACGAAAGCGUGGGGAGCAAACAGG